rnacentral:rRNA from 1 species
UACGGAGGGUGCGAGCGUUGUCCGGAGUCACUGGGCGUAAAGGGCGCGUAGGUGGCCCGGUAAGCGUGCGGUGAAAGUUCGAGGCUCAACCUCGAAUCGGCCGUGCGAACUGCUGGGCUUGAGCACUGUAGAGGCAGAUGGAAUUCCGGGUGUAGCGGUGGAAUGCGUAGAGAUCCGGAAGAACACCGGUGGCGAAGGCGGUCUGCUGGGCAGUUGCUGACACUGAGGCGCGACAGCGUGGGGAGCAAACAGG